UAGGACUUUAUUUUGGUAUCUCUCUCUUUUUUAAGGUUUUUUCCUUUUAAAAUUUACCCUUUGCUUACUAUUAGCUGUAGUUGCCUUGUCUUUUGUACUAUCUUGUUAAUAGGGCCUGGAGGGAACCCUAUUUCUAGGUUUGCUGCCUUUUAUUCUCCUCAUUUAUAGUGUUGGUUUAUUUUAGCGCUGUUCCCUCUGUUCGUGC